AUUGAACGCUGGCGGCAGGCCUAACACAUGCAAGUCGAACGAGUGGCGGACGGGUGAGUAAUGUCUGGGAAACUGCCUGAUGGAGGGGGAUAACUACUGGAAACGGUAGAUAAUACCGCAUACCAUCAGAUGUGCCCAGAUGGGAUUAGCUGGUUGGUGGGGUAACGCCGCACCAGGGCGACGAUCCCUAGCUGGUCUGAGAGGAUGACCAGCCCCACUGGACCUGAGACACGGUCCAGACUCCGACGGGUGGCAGCAGUGGGGAAUAUUGCACAAUGGGCGCAGGCCUGAAGCAGCCAUGCCGCGUGUAUUAAGAAGGCCUUCGGGUUGUAAAGUACUUUCAGCGGGGAGGCGUUACCCGCAGAAGAAGCACCGGCUAACUCCGUGCCAGCAGCCGCGGUAAUUC
rnacentral:rRNA from 1 species